rnacentral:rRNA from 1 species
AUUGAACGCUGGCGGCAUGCCUUACACAUGCAAGUCGAACGGCAGCAGGGACUUCGGUCCGCCGGCGAGUGGCGAACGGGUGAGUAAUGUAUCGGAACGUACCAUUCAGUGGGGGAUAACUAUCCGAAAGGAUAGCUAAUACCGCAUAUUCUGUGAGCAGGAAAGCAGGGGAUCGCAAGACCUUGCGCUGAUUGAGCGGCCGAUAUCAGAUUAGCUAGUUGGUGAGGUAACGGCUCACCAAGGCUACGAUCUGUAGCGGGUCUGAGAGGAUGAUCCGCCACACUGGGACUGAGACACGGCCCAGACUCCUGCGGGAGGCAGCAGUGGGGAAUUUUGGACAAUGGGCGCAAGCCUGAUCCAGCCAUGCCGCGUGAGUGAAGAAGGCCUUCGGGUUGUAAAGCUCUUUCGGCCGGGAAGAAAUCGCAUCAGCUAAUACCUGGUGUGGAUGACGGUACCGGAAUAAGAAGCACCGGCUAACUACGUGCCAGCAGCCGCGGUAAUAC